rnacentral:tRNA from 1 species
AAUAUUAUGCCGGAUAAACGGAUUACAUUGAUGUUGUAAAUUAUGGUCACUACCUAAUAUUU